UAAACUUAUCCUCUCAAUUCAGUUUACAGACCCUACUGCAUGAUUUAUUCUUCUAAUACUAACAACAAUAUUCUCGUGGCAGAGACUUAGUUCCAAGAUAAACUACGAUGUACUGGAAAAACUCUUUGAUGAACCUGCGAUCCCGGAGAACCCCAAGAAAAGACGAACAGAAUUGGAUACCAACAAUGAUGACAAGAUGCCUAGCAGCAAAGAGGUUGAAGCCAAGGAUGUCGAAACAAACGACGACAUGGGUUUGGAUGAUGAGCAGUAGGAUGAUGACACUAAAGGAGCGGAUGGUGAUUUAUAUUACGGAAACGAAGAGGAAAUGUAUGGUUACGACGGCGGAAAUUAUGAUUAUGAUGGCUUUUGAUCGUAUCCGAAAACUAACUUUCUUAUGACAUUUAAAAGCCUCGUCUGUUAGAGUGCGAGGGUUGUGAGUCUAGGAAGAUCUCUUUGUACAGUAUCAGUUGGUCGUCACCAAUUUUGAGUUUCCCCCAUUUGGGAAAGUAGACAGUUCUAGUUUGGAGAUUUUGCUCCUUUACUAUGUUUUUCUCAUAAAGGGUAAUAACAAUUCUUCGAAGGCAAGGCCAUCGCUUCCGCGAGAGAGCAUCUUGUACCGCCAAAUUCUUGUGCAAUCAACCCGAUAGUAACUAUUUCUCUCCU